rnacentral:rRNA from 1 species
UACAGAGGUCCCGAGCGUUGUUCGGAUUCACUGGGCGUAAAGGGUGCGUAGGCGGGUUUUUAAGUCAGGGGUGAAAUCCUGGAGCUCAACUCCAGAACUGCCUUUGAUACUGAAGAUCUUGAGUCCGGGAGAGGUGAGUGGAACUGCGAGUGUAGAGGUGAAAUUCGUAGAUAUUCGCAAGAACACCAGUGGCGAAGGCGGCUCACUGGCCCGGUACUGACGCUGAGGCACGAAAGCGUGGGGAGCAAACAGG